AGCUUUGCGCAGUGGCAGUAUCGUAGCCAAUGAGGUUUAUCCGAGGCGCGAUUAUUGCUAAUUGAAAAAGUUCCUAUUCCAACAUUUAUAAACAAGCAAACACCAGAAUGAUAAGAAUGAUAAAAUCUCCUGGAG